GAUGAAGAACGUAGCGAAAUGCGAUAAGUAAUGUGAAUUGCAGAAUUCAGUGAAUCAUCGAAUCUUUGAACGCACCUUGCACCCUUUGGUAUUCCGAAGGGUAUGCUCGUUUGAGUGUCAUUGUACUCUCACACUUCUAAUUCCUUUCGGGAUUGGGAGCGGUGGACUUGGGUGUUGCUGCUUUAGUUGUGGCUCACCUCAAAUAAGUUAGUGCAACUCUUGGUUGGACAUAGUACGGCGUGAUAAGUGUCUUCGCCGGCGCCUCUGUAAGGAGGGUGGCCGAUCGGGAGCUCUGUGCUUCAAACCGUCUUCGGACAAUCUUUGACAACUUGACCUCAAAUCGAGUAGGACUACCCGCUGAACUUAAGCAUAACAAUAAGCGGAGGA
rnacentral:misc_RNA from 1 species